GUAGGUGGCAAGCGUUGUCCGGAAUUAUUGGGCGUAAAGCGCGCGCAGGCGGUUCUUUAAGUCUGAUGUGAAAGCCCACGGCUCAACCGUGGAGGGUCAUUGGAAACUGGAGAACUUGAGUACAGAAGAGGAAAGCGGAAUUCCACGUGUAGCGGUGAAAUGCGUAGAGAUGUGGAGGAACACCAGUGGCGAAGGCGGCUUUCUGGUCUGUAACUGACGCUGAGACGCGAAAGCGUGGGGAGCAAACAGGGAUUAGAUACCCUGGUAGUCCACGCCGUAAACGAUGAGUGCUAAGUGUUAGGGGGUUUCCGCCCCCUUAGUGCUGCAGCUAACGCAUUAAGCACUCCGCCUGGGGAGUACGGCCGCAAGGCUG
rnacentral:rRNA from 1 species